UUUUGGUGAGUUCACCACUUCUUCCAAUUCUGGACAAAAAAAAAAAAAAGAUUCCUUUUUUUCUGCAACCCAGCUAAGCUGGUUUAUUUUAUCUGGGGGGGAAACAAACUCCAGAUACAGAAUGAGAUCAAGGAAGGUUCCAUAAAUUGGUAUUAUUUUAUAUUUGAUCCAAAACUUCUAUCAUAUCACUAGCCACUGAGGAAAUGGCAAAAAUAAGUGAGAACUUUCCUAACUAAUCAUUUGACAAAUAUAUGAAGUUUGAUUAGAUCUUCUUCCUAGCAAGAUCUUUCUUGAAACCCAUCCCCACUAACAUUUACUUCUAUUUUAUCUAAGGAAUUCAGCUUGGCAGAGGCAAGCCAGCGAUGCAGUGGUUAAGGUACUUCCCUAGAAACCAGGAGACGACUCCGUUCCCCUUGUCCCCUUCUCUCUGGUUUCUGAAGUGCCUCUCUCAUUUCUAGGAAGGCUGGAAAUUACAAGGAAGGUACAUUCCUGUCUUCUUGGACACUGGAAGAAAAAUGUGACCGAAAUUAGGAAGUGGACCCUGAAGGAGAGAAUAAUGCAGUGUACUAACCUUUUCUGUCAGAUUAAAAAAAAACUGGGAGAGGAGACCAUCCUCCCUAAGAAAAGGAGGGCAGUUUAAACCCCCACCUCCUGCAAAGUGCUUUAUGAUUUAGCUGGUGUCACAGGAAAAGCCUUUGACUCUCAAAUGCAUCCAGCUUUUUUUUUAAGUUUGCCAACUGAAUGGAAAACUAGCAGAAUAUUCUCCUUCUGCUGUCCCCAACACGGUGGUCUUGGGUUAUGAAUUCUCAGCCUUAUGGCUAUGUAGUCCCUUAAAGCCUCUGGAGGAUGUUAGGUUGAGGGGAGAGAAUUUUACAUCGCGUUUAAGUAAAUAAAACAACAGCCACGGGAAUGAGAAGAGGCCCAACCACAGUGAAGCUGUUGAUCGGUUUAAAACAAUAGAUUUGGAGGAAACUACCAAGAAAAGAUCUUCCGUAAAUCCAUUUUCAAUUCUUUGGCAUUCAAAAUUGAAAAAGCAGAGUGUUCAGUUUCUGGAAUUAAAAUACGAAGUGGCUUGAACACAUUAUCUGGAUAAUAUUAGUUUUGCUUCUCAUCCAAGAAAC